rnacentral:tRNA from 1 species
GGCAUUGUCGCCAAGUGGCAAGGCAGGGCGUUGCAAACGCCUUAUCGGGGGGUUCGAUUCCCUCCAAUGCCU